rnacentral:misc_RNA from 1 species
UGGUGGACUUGAGGAGUCAGGGGUGGGGUGGUUCAAACAGGACACCUACAAACACUCCUUGCAAAUAUUCACGUAGUAAAACUCAUACUUCCUGAAUAAUACUUCUUAUCAAGGUUUCAAGAAAGCAUAUGAAGGGAACCUGUAUCACCUUUCACACACUUGUCUGGCUCACCUACCACCACUACUGCUGCUCUUACUAGGAGUGCGGUUGAUUACGUCACUUCCUGCCAAUAACGCCAUCAUCGGUUAGCAAGUUGCCCAUAACACUACAAGAAAAAAGCGAUCACAACUAGUACAACCAUAGUACACAAGAAGCUCCUCCGCCACCACCACCAUGAAGGAGUGCUGGUCGCCGUGGUACUACUAUGACGACAUCAAGACAGCAAGUAAGGCGUGUGCAGCCACUACCAUCUUCUUCAGCACAUUCUCCAUCAUCUACAUCAGUCACUGUCUUAGUGGUGGUGACUCCUCCCAGUUCUUCCUCCCACUGUUUGAGACAGAUGUUGACACAACCAUGAGGGGUGCGGGCGGGUUCAUGAUUGUGUUCUACCUGUUUUACAUCGUAGUCUCAGGCCUCAUGGUGAGGGGGCUUAUCUUGGAUCAUCGGGGCUUCAUCCUUCCCUGGCUCACUCAGAAUCUCAUCUACGUACUCAUGAUCAUCGCUUUUGCCCUCUGGCUGCAGGCAUCGUACUACCAUUAUCUGCUGUCUGUGUUAUGGACGUUGCUCUAUGUGCUCUUUGCUGCUGCUCAUGUAUACAUGCAGAGGUGUGUCAAGAGCCAGUAUGAUAACAUUAAGAAAUCUCAAGCACCAAACAUCGUCCAGCUAUAUUGAGCUGUUUCUCUUCAGCCGUCAUCCUCACUCGGCUACAUAACAUCCGUCCUGACUUGGAUGUACUGUACCAGGUGUCCACUUAUGACUUCCAUACUGAAAUCUUAGUGCGACAUUUUUAUCUACGUACCUUAUAGGUAAGUUAAGGAAAUUGUAUUAUUUACUUAAUGCUGAUUAUGUUUUUAAUAUAUUUAUAGUACUGGAUGUUGCUUAUCAGAUUAUUACAAUCAGAAAUUUCAUGUUUUCAUCAUAGACAUCAAAUAUUUACUAUUGGAAUUGUAGAACUGAAAAUUUUAUAUAUUUUUAUGUUGUUAUUGACUUCAUAUUCUGAGUUAUGACCACAAACUUGAAGAAUCUCUUAGCUAUUGGAUGCUUUACACCCUGGUGAUAGUAAAAAUGAAUGAAUGCAUGAUUAAACUGCACCUAAAUACUGUAUAACUAUGGUACUGCAGUACAUGCAGAGAAAGAGAUAGAGUAUGAGAUGGACAUACAGAGUUGACAUAGAUAUGGCAAUGUCAACAUCAUAAGGCAAAUUCUCAAAUGAUUCAAUAUUUAAUGUAGAUUGUUUACAUUAUACCAAAAGCUACUUUAUCUUAAAUUAUUAACUUCAGUAAUACAUUUACAUAAGCUUUUAAACUUGACUAGAAAUGUAGUACGUACUAUAUUUACAAAAUUGAAAUAUCUGAAAUAUUUGCUACUAAAUAUUAGUGAUGGUAAGUUUGUCUGUCAUUAAUGUGGGUAAAUACUAUCCAGUGCUCAAACUAAUUUAUCUUCAUUAUAUUUUGUCUUAUCUAUGUAUUUAAACUUUAUCCUUGAAGCUCGACCUUUGUAACUCCUGAAGGAUCUUGUACAGCAAUCUUCAGAACUUUGCCUUCAACUGUUUUCCUCUGAAGCUUUACCUUUUUGACAAUUUCCAAACUUUUCACACUUGUACUUUACCUCUGUAGUGGUGUCUCUCUAAGACCGGUUUUAAAACUUAUUUCACGCUUCCGUCUAUUAAUGGUGGCUGUUGUGUCCCACCACUCACCAUUUUCAGUCAAAUCCAAUGUACAGUACAAUACAUACCUGUGUUUAGGUAAUGGGCAACUCAUCAGCUUAUAAUAGACAACUUUGAGUAAUGUAUAUUAUUAAACUAUAUAAAAUGUUGUUAGAUUGCCCUGGUUGUGCCAACAUUGUAAUUAUUUUUACAUUACACAUGAAAAUUUGCACUGUGUAAUGUACAGCACUGCCAAGGCACAACAUACUGUAAUUGCAAUUGAUGAUUGCAUAUUGUUAUAAUAAUGCACCUUAACUAUGUGAUACUAUUAGAGUCUAAUUAAUUUUUACUUCACAUGGAAUUACUUUGUUGUAUUUUAUACUUUUUCCAUGGUACAAUACUGUACACCUAUGUAGGAAUACUGUAGUCGGUUUUGCUAUAAGCGGUAGUUGCGUUCUUGAAAAACACUGCAUUUUAGAAAAAUUACGUUGUAGUAACCAUUGAUUUAAUGAGAAUUAAGGGGUAGUAGAUUCGAGAACACCAACAUGACUGACAUGGAACUCAGUUUCAUUUUUAUAUUAUUGUUAGUUUUUAUGUGUUUUAGUUUAAUAAUAUCAUUCAUAGUCUUAACCUGCUCGUGGUCUUUCGACACAAAUUGCAUCACUAAGUGCUCCGGUGCUGGUGCGACCCUUCCCGCUCAGCCAUAUCUCACAUAAGCACAAACGAAGGAACGGUGGACCAGCCCUAUCUACCACCUAAGUUCCUCCUACUAGCCUCAUGGACUGGCAGAUGCAUCUCUAAGGGUGUAAUUUGGGCCUGAAUCGUUUAAUAAAAUGGAUAAACCGUUCCUUUAAAGAUGCAGAACAAAUGAACACAAAGAAAAAAUAUGGGAGUGUGAUUCUCUUAACUGCUUUUAAUGAUAAAACUUUUAAAUCAAAACAUUUUUAGUCAUAAGAAGAGAAGAUAGUUGUCUGAGGCGACUGGUGGAGGAGGAACUUGAAUCAGUUUGACCACUUUAUCAAAAAACAUUUUCACACCCUUGCCAUGAUAAAGUUGAGAUACUGUACAGUACUUGUAUUAAAAUAAAGCACAGUCUGCGAUUACAGCAUCUGAUACAUAUGUAAGUUAAACAAAGACUGUAAGGGAGGUGCAGUGCCUUGUGUGAUGCAACGCCAAGGCGACCGCAUAAUUGCUUAUACCUACUUCACUGACAUAUUUCUGUUUACUUAAAUGCAUAAUAGAAAAUGUAUUCCCUUAAUACAUUCAUCACGUUACAACCAAGUUGCACUAUAAAACGUGUUGUAGGAAAACUUACUGCAUACACUACUGUAAUAGAUUCAGCUGGGCUAUGAAAAUUAAGCUUAUACAAAAUCUAUUAUGUACACGUAAUAUAAAUACAGUAGUACAGUAUUGGUGAAUACUUGUCCUUUUGUGAAGUAGUGGUAUACUUUAUUUUGUUCUUAUGGAUUAGAACAAAGCAUAUUUUACUGGAUAUAAUACUUCAUACUGUAUACAUACAAAUUGCAUAUAUAAAUUUACAGUAUAUUCAGGGUAUAUUUGUAUACACUACAUGCGGUCAUAUAACUUAAUAAAGAAGACUGCACUGCACCUCCACUUCUAUUUUGAGAGAAACUGAAGGCUUAAAAGGUUUAUAGCAUGAUUGUACUGACAAAUGCUAUAAAAAAAAAAGGAACACACCAAAGUGAUGAUUUCCGGA